rnacentral:SRP_RNA from 1 species
CCCGGAGCGGUGGCGCAUGCCUGUAGUCCCAGCUACUGGGCAGGAUCGCUUGAGCCCAGGAGUUCUGGGCUGCGUGCGCUAUGCCGGUCGGGUGUCCGCACUAAGUUCGGCAUCAAUAUGGUGAUCUUCUGGGAGCGGGGGACCACCAGGUUGCCUAAGGAGGGGUGAACCGGCCCAGGUCGGAAACGGAGCAGGUAAAAACUCCCGUGCUGAUCAGUAGUGGGAUCGCGCCUGUGAAUAGCCACUGCACUCCAGCCUGGGCAACGUAGUGAGA